rnacentral:rRNA from 1 species
AGGACGAACGCUGGCGGCGUGCUUAACACAUGCAAGUCACGGGGGGGUCGCAAGACCAACCGGCGAACGGGUGCGUAACACGUGAGCAACCUACCGAUUUGAGGGGGAUAGCCGGCCCAACGGCCGGGUAAUACCGCAUACGCUUGUAAGGCCUCCUGGUCUAACAAGGAAACCUCCGGGGCAGAUCGAGGGGCUCGCGGCCUAUCAGCUAGUUGGCGAGGUCAUGGCUCACCAAGGCGACGACGGGUAGCCUGGUCUGAGAGGAUGGCCAGCCACAUUGGACUGAGAAACGGCCCCAGACUCCGUACGGGAGGCAGCGAGUGGGGAAUCGUGCGCAAGUGGCGAAAGCCUGACGCAGCGCGCCGCGGUGGGGAUGGUAACGGGUUUCGGCGUUCGUAAACCCGUGUUCGCCCGGGACGAAACCGUCGCGUUUCGAGCGUAGUUCGGACCGGUACCGGUGAGGAACGCGAACCGGCUAACGUCCGUG